rnacentral:rRNA from 1 species
CUGCAACUCGCCUAUAUGAAGUUGGAAUUGCUAGUAAUCGCGGAUCAGCAUGCCGCGGUGAAUACGUUCCCGGGCCUUGUACACACCGCCCGUCACACCAUGAGAGCCGGUAACACCCGAAGUCAAUAGCCUAACCGCAAGGAGGGCAUUGCCGAAGGUGGGAUUGGUAAUUGGGUGAAGUCGUAACAAGGUAUC